UUUUUUUCAACUCCUUCGACUGCUCAUCACUCACAAGACAACACUACGGAGGCUUUCCAUCAGGACUUCAAUGCUUUCUGAUUGGUAGAUGCUAUGAGACAAAUUUGUACUUGGGAUUUUAUAUUGUAAUCUUGGGAUAUUAUUGAACCUGUUUUUGUAUUGACGUGUUUAGAUCAUUAAUUGUAAUCUUGGGAUAUUAUUGAACUUGUUUUUGUAUUGACGUAUUUAGAUCAUUAAUUGUAAUCUUGGAAUUGUAUUGAA